rnacentral:lncRNA from 1 species
UGACUGAUUGGUGGCCAAGCCAUACAAGCUAUUACAUAUUUUGAAUAUCAUUCCUUCCUACAGGUCCUCACAUGCAAAAAUAUUAAUAUAUUCAACUCUACUGUGUUGAAGGCUUCAUGAAAUCACACCUUCAAAAAUAGCAGUUCUGUCAUUUUAUACAACAUUGAAAACAUCAGAGUCAUCUGAUAAAUACUGAUCAGCCAGUUAGGUGCAGUGUGUAUUCAUGAAGUGCCAUCAUUGAUUACCUGGAUCUCAUAAAUGCUAGCACAGGAGAAAAACAGAGAUGCAUGUGAACAGCAGAGAAGGACAAAGAGAAGAAGCAGCGAACAGAAGCCACGAGGCAGUAGCAGCGGUGAGAAAGCAGAACUUUGAGUCAGAG